GGACUACGGGGGUAUCUAAUCCCAUUUGCUCCCCUAGCUUUCGUUCCUCAGCGUCAGUUAUAGCCCAGCAAGCCGCUUACGCCACCGGUGUUCUUCCCAAUAUCUACGCAUUUCACCGCUACACUGGGAAUUCCGCUUGCCUCUACUACACUCCAGUCUGCCAGUAUCCAAUGCACUCCCGAGGUUGAGCCCCAGUCUUUAACAUCAGACUUAACAAACCACCUACGAACUCUUUACGCCCAAUAAAUCCGGACAACGCUUGCAUCCUACGUCUUACCGCGGCUGCUGGCAC
rnacentral:misc_RNA from 1 species